AUGUCUUUGAUUACUCUGAUGUAGGCUUCCGGCACGCUCUUCGCCUCCAAACACCUCCAUAGCACCUCCCUUGGGACCUUGUCAUACGCCUUCUCCAGAUCAAUAAGCACCAUGUGAAGAUCCUUCCUCUUAUCCCUGAAUUGCUCCGCCAGCCGCCUGACAAGGUGGAUAGCCUCUGUAGAAGAGCGGCUCGGCAUGAAACCGAACUGGUUCCCAGAUAUAGAUGUCACCCCCCUCACCCUUUCUCAAUCACCCUCUCCCAAACCUUCAUGGUG
rnacentral:lncRNA from 1 species